GAGUUUGAUCAUGGCUCAGAGCGAACGCUGGCGGCAGGCCUAACACAUGCAAGUCGAGCGCGUGUAGCAAUACACGAGCGGCAGACGGGAGAGUAACACGUGGGAACGCGCCCUUCGGUUCGGAAUAACUCAGGGAAACUUGAGCUAAUACCGGAUACGCCCUUACGGGGAAAGAUUUAUUGCCGAAGGAACGGCCCGCGUCCGAUUAGCUAGUUGGUGAGGUAACGGCUCACCAAGGCGACGAUCGGUAGCUGGUCUGAGAGGAUGACCAGCCUCACUGGGACUGAGACACGGCCCAGACUCCUACGGGAGGCAGCAGUGGGGAAUAUUGGACAAUGGGCGCAAGCCUGAUCCAGCCAUGCCGCGUGGAUGAUGAAGGCCCUAGGGUUGUAAAGUCCUUUUAACGGGGAAGAUAAUGACGGUACCCGUAGAAUAAGCCCCGGCUAACUUCGUGCCAGCCGCCGCCGUAAC
rnacentral:rRNA from 1 species